AUAAGAUAUGUUUGUCUUUUACGUUUGUGCAAGAUGUGUCGUUCCAUCUUUCAUAUUGACGUAUCAGCUAUAAAAUUAACGAAGCAGAUCACGACAGAAACCAAAUUAAGAACGAGCCUCGGUUUAAUGGGAUUUUGAGGCGCAGAGACCAGGACAGACUUGCGGGAUGACUGAUGACAUAGUAUAAAUGUUCGCAGAUCCGAGAUUAUAUUAUGAUCAAAAUAUCCCCCUAUAAUAAAAUAUGCAGAAAAUACAGUCACAAUAGAUAGCUAAGAACACAUUUUCGUAAUCCGCAACAAUUUCUCUCUCUCUUCUGGGAGACCCCAUUCGCGAGCUACAACAAUUCGAGCGAUGUAUUUUAAUUAGAAAAUUUGCAUUUUGCCUUUCAAAUGUUCCCGGAUUGUGCAAGACAAACGGACAACGAAACACGUUUCGCAACAAUAAAGUGUCACGUGGAUUUUCACAGUCUUUGGCAUGUACUCAGUAUGCC